rnacentral:rRNA from 1 species
UGUGAAAAUCCGGGGCUCAACUCCGGACUUGCAGUGGGUACGGGCAGACUAGAGUGUGGUAGGGGAGACUGGAAUUCCUAGUGUAGAGGUGAAAUUCGCAGAUAUUAGGAGGAACACCGAUGGCGUAAGCAGCCAACUGGACGAUUACUGACGCUGAGAUACGAAAGCGUGGGGAGCAAACA